rnacentral:rRNA from 1 species
UAGGGAAUCUUGCACAAUGGACGAAAGUCUGAUGCAGCGACGCCGUGUGGGGGAUGAAGGGUUUUGGCUCGUAAACCCCUGUCAGAUGGGACGAGGGAUUGCAUACCUAAUAAUUAUGCAGUCUGACGGUACCAUCAGAGGAAGCACCGGCUAACUACGUGCCAGCAGCCGCGGUAAUACGUAGGGUGCAAGCGUUGCUCGGAAUCACUGGGCGUAAAGAGUGGGUAGGUGGAUUUAUAAGUCAGGUGUGAAAGCCCGGGGCUCAACUCCGGAAGUGCAUUUGAUACUGUAAGUCUAGAUUUUGGUAGAGGGAAGUAGAAUUCCAGGUGUAGGGGUGAAAUCCGUAGAUAUCUGGAGGAAUACCUGAGGCGAAGGCGGCUUCCUGGACCAACAAUGACACUGAGCCACGAAAGCAUGGGGAUCAAACAGA